AAACUUUCAACAACGGAUCUCUUGGCUCUGGCAUCGAUGAAGAACGCAGCGAAAUGCGAUAAGUAAUGUGAAUUGCAGAAUCCAGUGAAUCAUCGAAUCUUUGAACGCACAUGGCGCCCGCCAGCAUUCUGGCGGGCAUGCCUGUUCGAGCGUCAUUU
rnacentral:rRNA from 1 species